UCGCUAGUAAUCGCGGAUCAGAAUGCCGCGGUGAAUACGUUCCCGGGUCUUGUACACACCGCCCGUCACACCAUGGGAGUCAGUAACGCCCGAAGUCAGUGACCUAACCGAAAGGGGGGAGCUGCCGAAGGCGGGACGGAUGACUGGGGUGAAGUCGUAACAAGGUACC
rnacentral:rRNA from 1 species